rnacentral:rRNA from 1 species
UACGUAGGGGGCGAGCGUUGUCCGGAUUUAUUGGGCGUAAAGGGCACGCAGGCGGUCUUGUCAGUUUCGAGUGACAGGUGGUGGCUUAACUGCCACAGGCCUCGAAAGACGGCAAGACUUGAGGGCUUGAGAGGGACGCGGAAUUCCAGGUGGAGCGGUGAAAUGCGUAGAGAUCUGGAGGAAUACCGGUGGCGAAGGCGGCAUCCUGGACCGAGAUUGACACUGAUGAGCGAAAGCUAGGGGAGCAAACGGG